AUUGAACGCUGGCGGCAGGCCUAACACAUGCAAGUCGAGCGGAGCGGCGGACGGGUGAGUAAUGCCUAGGAAUCUGCCUGGUAGUGGGGGAUAACGUCCGGAAACGGGCGCUAAUACCGCAUACUAUCAGAUGAGCCUAGGUCGGAUUAGCUAGUUGGUGGGGUAAAGGCCUACCAAGGCGACGGUCCGUAACUGGUCUGAGGGGAUGAUCAGUCACACUGGAAAUGAGAAAAGGUCCAGACGCCUACGGGGGGCAGCAGUGGGGAAAAUUGGAAAAUGGGCGAAAGCCUGAUCCAGGCAUGCCGCGUGGGUAAAAAAGGUCUUCGGAUUGUAAAGAACUUUAAGUUGGGAGGCGUUACCGACAGAAGAAGCACCGGAUAACUCCGUGCCAGCAGCCGCGGUAAUU
rnacentral:rRNA from 1 species